UUUUUUUGCAGUGAAUAGAUUACAGUAUCUGAGAAUUCACUUCCUGCCCAAACACCCACAUCACUCACCCCCCACUUGACACCCCCCCCCCGCUUCACCUCUGGUGGCAAACUGCCUUUUGAAUUACUUCUCUUUUUAAAGCUUGGAGGAAGACACAGGGGAGCUGCAAGGAGCAGAUUUCUUCAGCCAGGAGGAUAAGUGCAGCUGUCAAGUCUGCAGGGAAAGGUGAAUUUAAAGGGGGAAAUUGUGGUUAAGAAGGAGCGAGGCAGUGGCAGCAAGAUCAGGGAGGGAAUAAAACUUCAGGAGGGGCAGGGUGGACCGAAGCAGGGCUGAGGAAACCCAAUAUUGUCUACUCUCCAGCUGGUCUCCAGAGGUUCAGACAGCAGCUUUCCCUGCCCUGUCUGGAGACUCCCGGGAUUGAACCUGGGAUUGCAUGAAAAGCAGAUGCUCUACCGUUGAGCUACAGCCUGCUUCUUAGAAACGUUGGUCCAUCUACCUUUGUGUUGUCCACACUGACUGGCAGCAGCUCUCCAGGCCCUCAGGCAGCUCUACCUGGGGAUGUCAGAGGUUGUACUUGGGACCUUAUGCAUGUAAGCUGAGCCCCACACCACCGAGCUGAAGAACACAGGGCUCUGCCUUUUACAGAGUCAGAAAAUUACCCCUUCUAUCACAGUAUUGUCCACACUGACUGGCAGCAGCUCUCCAGGGUUUCGGACAAGAGACAUCUCCCAGCAGUACCUGGGGACGGAACCUGGGACCUUCUGCAUAUACCACUGAGCUGCCCUGCACUUCCCAGUUUAUCCUCUCUUCCAAAUCUUAAAACAAAUAAUAAAGCAAACAUACCCAAAGGAGUGAUUGCGGAAAAGUUGAGAGGUGACACAGUUAUAUACUUUGGGAGGUUGCUAUAGAGCAGAGGUGGAUUAGCUUGAGGCUUAUGUGACCUACUUUGUUUCCCCCCACUAGAUUCCCCAAGACCCACUCACUGGAGCCAAGUGUGAAAAAGAAUUCUGAGCCUAUCCAUCACCACACGAAAAGACUCACUGCCGGCAAUUCCCUGGAAUUUGCAAUUCUAGAGACCAGGAAUGUCUGGACUGUGGCUGCAUUAAAAUUGAU